ensembl:lncRNA
CACAGACACACAGACAGGUAGACACACAGACAGGUAGACACACACAGAGACCGGUAGAGACACACAGAAACAGGUAGACACACACAGACAGGUAGACACACAGACAGACACACAGACAGACACACACAGACAGACAGGUAGACACACACACACAGACAGACACAGACAGACAGGUAGACACACACAGACAGACACACACAGACAGACACACAGAGACAGACAGACACAGACAGACAGAGACACACACAGACAC